rnacentral:rRNA from 1 species
UACAGAGGCCUCGAGCGUUAAUCGGAAUCACUGGGCUUAAAGGGUGCGUAGGCGGCGCUGCAAGUGCCUUGUGAAAUCCCAUCGCUUAACGAUGGAACUGCUCGGUAGACUGCAGUGCUUGAGGUUGGUAGGGGCUGCCGGAACUCUAGGUGGAGCGGUGAAAUGCGUAGAUAUCUAGAGGAACGCCCAAGGCGAAGGCAGGCAGCUGGGCCAAUUCGUGACGCUGAGGCACGAAAGCGUGGGGAGCAAACGGG